rnacentral:rRNA from 1 species
GAUGAACGCUGGCGGCGUGCCUAAUACAUGCAAGUCGAGCGAACGGACGAGAAGCUUGCUUCUCUGAUGUUAGCGUCGGACGGGUGAGUAACACGUGGAUAACCUACCUAUAAGACUGGGAUAACUUCUGGAAACCGGAGCUAAUACCGGAUGAUAUUUUUAACCGCAUGUUUCAAAUGUGAAAGACGGUCUUGCUGUCACUUAUAGAUUGAUCCGCGCUGCAUUAGCUAGUUGGUAAGGUAACGGCUUACCAAGGCAACGAUGAAUAGCCGACCUGAGAGGGUGAUCGGCAACACUGGAACUGAGACACGGUCAAGACUCCUACGGAAGGCAGCAGUAGGGAAUCUUCCGCAAUGGGCAAAAGCCUGACGGAGCAACGCGGCGUGAGUGAGGAAGGUCUUCGGAUCGUAAAACUCUGUUAUUUGGGAAGAACAUAGGUGUAAGUAACAGUGCACAUCUUGACGGUACCUAAUCAGAAAGACACGGCUAACUACGUG